GCUUACGGCCAUACCACCCUGAACACGCCCGAUCCGAUCUCGGAAGCUAAGCAGGUCGGGCCUGGUUAGUACUUGGAUGGGAGACCGCCUGGGAAUACCAGGUGCUGUAAGCU
rnacentral:rRNA from 1 species